rnacentral:rRNA from 1 species
UACGUAGGGUGCAAGCGUUGUUCGGAAUUACUGGGCGUAAAGGGCGCGUAGGCGGCCCGCUAAGUCGAACGUGAAAUCCCCGGGCUCAACCCGGGAACUGCGUCCGAUACUGGUGGGCUUGAAUCCGGGAGAGGGAUGCGGAAUUCCAGGUGUAGCGGUGAAAUGCGUGGAUAUCUGGAGGAACACCGGUGGCGAAGGCGGCAUCCUGGACCGGUAUUGACGCUGAGGCGCGAAAGCCAGGGGAGCAAACGGG